UAAACAAAAUAGAAAACAAAACGCUAAAAGGUAACUCAAAAGCCAACCGUCAUUCUUCAGCUGAGAAGAGAAAAACACCUUCCACGAACACAGCCAGAAGAAAUGAAAAAACACAUCGAACCUUGUCUUCAACCAGACCAAACUCAACGCUUAUGGAGGAUCUAACCACCUCUUGUGCUCCUCUGCUUGGAUUUCUGCUCGAGAAGGUCCCUCCUCCACCCAAUACCUAUCCUCGUUCCCAAGGUCAUCAUCGGCUGCCAAUAGAUGCGCCACCUUAUUGCCCGAUCUCGGGACAAAAUAAAACUGACAUGCAUGAAACGGGUUCGUCGUCCUUUUAAUUUCCCAGAUCCAAGCACUUAAAUCCGAAAGGUCUUCUUCCCGAUAUUCUAACUUUUUAAUUACUGAUUUUGAAUCCCCUUCGAUGAUCACUCGUUUGAAGCCGAGGUCCUCUGCCAACUCCACCGCAUGCAAAGCCGCCUUCGCUUCUGCCAUAAACGGAGAGCUGAGCAUCGAAAUUCACCUUUACUGCUGGGUCAACAGGCGGCCUCCAUCGGGCGACGGGGCUGUAACACUCUAGUUCAGUUAGACCAAAAAUUCCAUGGAUUACAAUUGAAAUAGUGGCCCAAAAAUUUUCUUUUAAAAUUGUUUGUAAAUCCCUGAAAUUUAGAUAAACUAAGUUUACAAAUGAACGGGGAGCUCUCAAAAUAUAUCUACAAAAAUAAUACAAAAUAUUGAAUUCCUAAAAGAGUUACGACUAAAAAUAUAAUACAAAUCUAUAAUAGUGCAUACCCUCUAAAGAAGACUUAAGAAAUACUCUUAAAGGUCUCUAAAAAUAUUCUAUGUUGUAUUAAAAUAUUUUAUGACGAUAGCUCCCUACAAUCUGUCCCUAAGAACCUUUGCAUGUAAAUACAUUCUUAACGCUGAGCUUACGAGCUCAGGGUCUUACUAAAAACUGUAUUAUACUAUAUGCGUUCACUAAAUGAGAUGACAAGUGACACAGAUCUGAGUAUAUAACUAACAGACUGUUAAUCUGUGGCUGACAUCAUGGUGUGACUGAGAGAUUCUGCAUCUCGGAGCUCACGCACCCUUUUAGCACUGUCAAAGCACCAUCAGGUAUUCUCGGGUGAGAUCCAGAAUUCUGCAUCGGAACUUACACCCACCAACUUACUCUAUCGAGUCUUAGGGUAUCUGGCUCCCUAGUCAGCUGUUGUAGUGUUGUGUCAUUGACUUGGAUUCACUGACUGUCGUAUUUUUGCUAAAAGGAACUCUGAUGUCCUAAUUGUUUCCUAAGCGUCAAACAAAACUAGUUUUAUGUAAACCUAGUUAUUUCUAUUUCCACUGCUAUGAUAUUGAUUAUUGUUUUUGCUUGAAGUCUUAUUUGAGGAUAUACUAAAGUGUUGGGGUACUUCGAGUCCAUUUCCCUUAAAACUAGCCUUUUUGUCCAAAACAGACUAAAAGUAUCGAUACUAGCCCAAGAGUAUCAAUAGUCCUGAAAAUUUUUGAUACUUUCUACAAGUAUUGAUACUUUUAAACAUUCUGAAUCACCUAGUUUCGAUACUUUCUGGGAUUUUCUAAACUAUGACCCAAAGUAUCGAUACUUUUGAAAGAGUAUUGAUACUCUUGUCCAGAAAUUCACGAGUUUGCCCGAGAAGAAGAAGUUUUGAUACUAUCCUUCUAGUAUCGAAACUUAACCUACAAAGAGCAUAAAAUAUGUGCAAAAACUCCAAUUCUACUAUCCCUAAGACCUUAGUGAGGUCUCCAAACAUUAUUAAUGUUCUAUGAAGAUACAAAGGAGAAUAAAUAAGCCUUUAAACAUGUUUAUAACUCUAAAAUAUGAAAUCUACCAUGAGAAUGCUUCAAGCUUAUGCAA